GGUUAGGGUUAGGUUAGUUUAGGGUUAGGGUUAAGGGUAGGGUUAGGGUUGGUUAGGAGUAGGGUUAGGUGUAGGGGUAGGGUUAGGAAUAGGGUUAGGGUUACCCUAUCCCUACCCUACCCCUACUCCAACCACUAACCCUACUCCAACUCCUAACCACACCCCUAACCCUACAACACCCACUAACCCUACCCCAAAACUUAACCCUACCCCUAAACC